ACCUCAUAUAGCUCAACAAAGGGGUAAUGAAGCUGAUGCUUAGAGAGGUUGAGUAAUCCACCCAUGUCUCUCUGACCCAGGUCUGACCACCAUACUAUUGCCUGCAGAUGAAGAGGAGCAACAUAUUGUAUCCUGUGUUGCUCAAGAGAGCAGAAUUAGGACUUAGAAUAGCCUUCUAAGAAUUGCUCUGUGCCACCAAAUGGGUGGCAGACUUCUAGACAAGUUUUCUAAACUUGUCAGCCUCAACUACAAGUGAGCUGGUGAGAGAAAACAAACAUCACUAUCCAGGGGCUUUUGCUGGACUUACUGAAUGUAACAGAGAUCGGAUUGGAUUGUCUCUAAUGUCUGUUUCACGAAUAGAGUUCUGUAAAUAGUCUGUCUUUUCUGAAGCCAUUGUAUUUUCAGUAUUAGGUCAUUUAGUUGACUGAAAGUGUGUAUUCUGUAAAGAGAGAAAGGGAUGGGGAGAGAAAGGAGACUGUUACUUUUAUUUUCAUGUCCUUUGCUCUCCCACAUGCAUACUCCACCUCUAGCUCUUACACUCAAACAUCUACACUUGCAGCUUACUGUAGAUGCCACUGUCCUUUUCCACAUUUGCACAAGUAGAUUUCUCACUCCCAACCCUUAUUUUGAAAAUAAGGUGUUUCUACAUCUUUCAUUUUAUUUUUAAAAAUAAAAGUUGGACCACAGUUUAGAUAUAUUAAUCACUUUUCCCAGAACUCAUGUUUGGUCAUCUAAAAGCCUGUGUCUAAAAGUUGUGAGGAAUAGUUGAAGCUUUCAUCAAUGUAAAGGUUGGGUAAUACUCUACUGCCAAAAGUAGUUAAUUAAUUUCUGCAGAGUUAAGGUAGUAGAAAUGGGAGCUCUCAUCUGUUUUGAGAAAUGUGUACAAAAUUAAUGUUUUCCCAGAGAAGCAUUUUCCAAUGUCUCCAUCUAAUUUGGCUCCAUUCUGAAGAGAAGCACAAUGAUGCUUCAGCAACUUGAAAUUUUACUAAGUGAACUAACUAAUCCUGCCUUUGAAACAGUGGACUGGGGCUCAAAAGACAAGCUUCUUAGACUAAUACUGGGCACUUUCUCUUUUCUCACUCUCUCUUUAUUCCCUUUUCUUUCUCCUUCUCUUGUUCCAUCUUUUCACUUUGGAAACUAUUAGGUUUCAAAAAUGCAUCUGUAGCUGUUUAUUUUACAUGUGCCUGAUUUUAUGAGUUUAUGGGCUCCUGAAAAUUAAAUUAAUUUUAAAUGAGCUUUAAUUACUAAUGCUUUGGGCCAUUGCCUUUAACAAAGUCAACAUAACAAUCAGGGUUACCUUAGUUUGUCUCUUUGAAGAAUGUAGUCAUUCAUUUGGGCUCUUAUUGAGCAGAGCAGCUUUCUAACUGGAAAAACAAAUAAAUAAAAUAAAACCACUGCUAUAUUUGAAUGCCUGAAUUUAUUUCUUUUCCAGAAAUAGCCACCUUUGAUUUAAGAAACAGGAUUUUAAGUGUGCAUUAAAGGAUUCAUUUUGUUAAUAAUAUCUUGUUAUUUUUCAGAAGAGGAGAGGAUCCUAUUCAUAAUAUUAUGCUAUGCAAAUACAGAGGCAGAGGUUGAAUCAUGACCUGAAGGUCUGAAUUCUGUUCUUAGCUUGGUGCAGAGUGCUUUGUAUGUAACAUUAGUGAAAUCGGCUUACUUCUCAAUACAGUGC
rnacentral:lncRNA from 1 species